rnacentral:rRNA from 1 species
AGAGUUUGAUCCUGGCUCAGAUUGAACGCUGGCGGCAGGCCUAACACAUGCAAGUCGAGCGGCAGCGGGUCCUUCGGGAUGCCGGCGAGCGGCGGACGGGUGAGUAAUGCCUAGGAAUCUGCCUGGUAGUGGGGGAUAACUCGGGGAAACUCGAGCUAAUACCGCAUACGUCCUACGGGAGAAAACGGGGGAUCUUCGGACCUCGCGCUACCAGAUGAGCCUAGGUCGGAUUAGCUAGUUGGUGAGGUAAAGGCUCACCAAGGCGACGAUCCGUAGCUGGUCUGAGAGGAUGAUCAGCCACACUGGAACUGAGACACGGUCCAGACUCCUACGGGAGGCAGCAGUGGGGAAUAUUGGACAAUGGGCGAAAGCCUGAUCCAGCCAUGCCGCGUGUGUGAAGAAGGUCUUCGGAUUGUAAAGCACUUUAAGUUGGGGAGGAAGGGCAGUAAGCUAAUACCUUGCUGUUUUGACGUUACCGACAGAAUAAGCACCGGCUAACU